UGGGAAAAAUGGGCAGUUGAGU
rnacentral:miRNA from 1 species